rnacentral:rRNA from 1 species
AGUGAACGCUGGCGGUAGGCCUAACACAUGCAAGUCGAACGGCAGCACAGUAAGAGCUUGCUCUUACGGGUGGCGAGUGGCGGACGGGUGAGGAAUACAUCGGAAUCUACUUUUUCGUGGGGGAUAACGUAGGGAAACUUACGCUAAUACCGCCUACGACCUACGGGUGAAAGCAGGGGAUCUUCGGACCUUGCGCGAUUGCAUGAGCCGAUGUCGGAUUAGCUAGUUGGCGGGGUAAAGGCCCACCAAGGCGACGAGCCGUAGCUGGUCUGAGAGGAUGAGCAGCCACACUGGAACUGAGACACGGUCCAGACUCCUACGGGAGGCAGCAGUGGGGAAUAUUGGACAAUGGGCGCAAGCCUGAUCCAGCCAUACCGCGUGGGUGAAGAAGGCCUUCGGGUUGUAAAGCCCUUUUGUUGGGAAAGAAAAGCAGCAGGUUAAUACCCCGCUGUUCUGACGGUACCCAAAGAAUAAGCACCGGCUAACUUCGUG